rnacentral:lncRNA from 1 species
UCCAGCCAUCGGGGCCCUCUCCCCGGCAGUGACUGGCCUGCCUCGUGUCCCUGUGGGCGCCUAGAAUUGGAGGUAUAUGGAUUCGGAAACUGCUUUCUCUCUUCUGUGCCGCUUCUUUCAUUGGGCCGUUCUUUCGAGGUUCCCCUGUGGUGCAACAUGUUUCAGCAGCUUUUUUAAACGAUGGAGGUCUAGCUGGGGUGCGGGAGCAUGAAUCAGUACUUUGUUUUGAUAGCCGAGUAGGAUUCCGUUAUAUGGCUAUGACACAAUUUUGUUCGUCCACCCGCGCAUCCAUGCACAUUUCAGUUGCGUCCAGUGUGAGAUUGUUAUAAACCAAGCGGCCACCUACCCAUGCCUGCGUUUCUCUUGGGUAAAUGCCUGGGACUGGAGUGGCCCGAAGCAUGUGGCAGAUGUAUACGUUUUUAAGAAAUUGCCAAACCGUUUUCCAACGUGGUUGUCCUGACUUUCGGUUUCAGCUCUGACGCCGGAAGAGCUUGGGGUCGCUCCCAUUCUCACCACGAGAACAAUCCUGAGCCACCUGAAGACUGACGGCUUUUCUUGGACACAUCAGAGGACCGGGGUCAGAGGGCACAGCAUCCGAAGGUCACGAGUGAGAUCCGCUGCCUCGCACCCUGGUAGGAGCAUUUCAUUUAGAUGACAAGGGGCUGGAGACCGAGUGUGCGCUGCUGUGGGCGCGGGGGAGUCUCAGGUCUGCCGGCGCAGCGCAUGGCCACAGUCUCAGGGCUUUUAUCCCCAGGAACUCCACCAGGUUUUGACAGGAAAGAGCUGAGAAAGACCGCACAGGAGUGGUGAUCGAACUUUAAUGCUGGCUGUCUUUCUAGGCGGGGGGUGGUAUUUCACUGUGGUUUUUAUGUGCAUUUCCCAAAUGACUAACUUUUCCAAAUGGCUAAUCAUGUGGCGCGUCUUUUCAUGUGGUUCUUUGCCAUGUCAUUUUCUUUGGUGACGCGCCCAUUGCAACCCUUUCUCGUUUUGCUGUCAGGUUGUUUGUUUUCUUAUGAUUGAGUUUCGAGAGUUCUUUAUGCAUUCUGAAUAAGAGUCCUUUAUCAGAUAUGUGAUUUUCACAUAUUUCCUCUCAGUGUGGAGCUUGUCCUUUAAUUCUCUUAACGGAGUCUUUUGAAAGCAUAAGUUUUGAAUUUUGCUGCCGUUCAGAAUUUCAAACUGUUCGUAUAUGUAGGUCAUGCCUCUGUAAGAGCUCAGGAUUAUGACAACUCUAAGAAAUCUUUGCCUAACACAUGGUCACAAAUGCUUUCUCCUUUUAUUCCAGAACUGUUAUCGUUUUAGGUUUUACAUUUAGAUCUCUGAUCCAUUUUGAAUUAACUUUGCUAAACGGUGACGCUGUGAUCGUUUGUAUUUUUCAAGGGAAGGAGGUUCCCUCUGUUCACUGUCUUCUGAGGGUUUUUUCUUUUCAAUCAGGAAUGGGUGUUAGACUGUGUCAAAUGCUUUGCAUCUUUAUCGAGAUGGCCGUCCGAUGUUCUGUUUGGUUUGUGAAAGCGGCGAGUGGCCCUGGCUCAGUUAACCUCGGUUUCCCCGAGUGACCCCGGCUCAGUUAACCUCGGUUUCCCCGAGUGACCCCAGCUCAGUUAACCUCGGUUUCCCCGAGUGACCCUGGCUCAGUUAACCUCGGUCCCCGAGGCAGGCGUCCCCUGGGAGCAGUGUGUGGUCUUCUUUAGAGAUGUCACCGGGUUUUAUUUUUCUGUGUUUUGUUUGUGAGGAAUAUUGGUCUGCAGUUCUCGUUUCUUCUCUUUUAUUUGUUUGCGUUUGGUACCAGGGUAAUGCUGCUUCAUUGAAUGCAUCCUAGUUGAUUUUUUAGAAGAGUUUGGGUAAAAUUGGAAUAAUUACGCUCCUGAAAUGUUUGCUAGGAUUCACCAAUGAAGCCGCUUGGUCCUGGAGUAGUCUUUGUGGGGACGUUUCCGACUGCAAGUAUAAUUUUGUUAACAGAGGGUACUCAUGCGUCUGAUAGUCUGCUUCUUUUAGAGGCAGCCGUGGUGACUUGUGUCUUCCAGCAAGCUGUCCUCUUUUCCCAAGCGAGCGGUAAAACCUGUAGUGGUGUCAGUCCUCUCGUUUCUGACACAGGUAACUUGUGUCUUUCCCCCUUUUCCGUCCACCUGGCUAGAUGUUUAUUGCUGUCAUCUAUCUUCUCAAAGAACCAGCUCUGGGAUUCCUGGGUCUUCUCUGUUGUUUCCUGUUCAGAAUCUCUCCCCAAAGCAGAAGCACCUCCUUGCUCCUUUUCUUGCUGUCCCUGUGCCUAAGGACCCCCCUAAGACCAUCUAGGUCUAAGCUCCCACGUUUCUCAAGCUCCACCCCAGCACCUCCAACUUUCUUCUGACCGUCUGGUCAGAGGUCGAGCAUUUCAGCUGAAACUUCAGGAAAAAAAAGCCCAUGUGUAUACUCUGAAGUGUGUGCUCACUUGUGUAUACAACAGCUUUAUGACGGGGCUGUAAAUGCAGGAUUCACUUGGCGCCGGGGGCAGGGGGCUCCCUGGCUCUGCCCUUUGCUAACAUAUAAGGGACUAACCACCUCUGAGCCUCCGUUUCCCUCGCUCUAAAACGGGAGUCACGAUGAUAACAAGGUUGUCGAAGGACCCGGCGAGGAGAUGGAUGCAAAGGGCUUGGCCAGAGUCUGGUCCUGGGCCGGCCCUCCGUGAGCAGUGCUGAAAUGUGACAGCGAGCGUGACGGUCCAGGGCUCCGUCCCCUUCACUGCUGGAAAGGCAGGAUUUACGGUCUUCCUUGUCUUCUGUUGAUGUUGGAGCCAGUGUUUAUUGGUUGUAAAUGGUAAAAAUACAAACCUGGCCUAGAAAUCCACAGACUGUGCCUUUUGUCCCAUUACGGACAAGUCCAUGGCCACGCCUGGUCAAGCACGGAAGUUUACAAGUCCAACAUCCAAAAUACACUUUCGUUACAAAAGUGUUGCCUCAGGAGGUUGGCAGCACUGUGGCCAUUGUCGCUGGAAGAGCUUGCGUCACUGGUGUUUCCCCGGGAUGCGGCUGCGCCCACGUGGCCGAGGAGGAUGAGGGCCGCCCUGGCCGGGGCACGAGACUCUGCACAGUGUGGGCCUCAGAAGGCUGCAGGGCUUUCUGUGACGGCCUUUGUCGGGGGCGGGGCGCAUCCUGAAUAGUGCGUGGCAGACCCCCAGCUCUACCUGUGGCCCCCAGGUGCCUUGGAAAAGGCCAGGCAGCCUCUGCGGGUCUAUCCUGGGACACUUGCUCCAUGAAUCUUUGAUGUGUGAGAUGCCCAGGUGUCCACUCACCUCCACGUCGAUGGUGGCGGGCGGGGGGCAGUUGGCGGGGGCCAGAGCAGGGGGAGAUGGAUGGGGCUGAUGGGUGUGGUUGGGGACAGAAAGAGAUGAACCUACGAGGUGACCCUGAGCAGCCGCACCUCUGUGCACAUGGCCUUGUAUUACUGUGGGGGCUGCUCGUUACACAGCUCGCUUUGGUAACGGGUGCACAGCCCAUGCCUGGUAGGAGCCACUAAGUCUCUGUGGGCUUCAGGGCGUCCAUCCGUAGAAGGAGGAUCGUGAGGCGGCCUCUGAGCAGCCCCGGGAGCACCAUGAGGAGAGGUGAAGAAGCAGCCUCUGCCUCCGCCUCCACACGGCCCUCUCUCCUACGCCAGCAUCGCCUCCCUCUCGCCUCUUACGAGAACAUUUCUCAUCUCAGGAUAUUCGACUGCAUCUGCAGAGACUGCUUUUCCAAGUGAGGUCCUGGCAGGACGUGGGUGUUUCCUGAGGGGUGGGGGGCACAUUCAACCCGCUGUAGCAGCCCCUGCCUAAAGGCAGUGCGUGCAAGAAAUGAGGAAAAUCCAUCAGCCCCGCAUGUGCAUCCCAGCGCUGCUGUUUCCAGUGGGGUGGCCUUCACCCCUCCGAGCCCCAGUCUCUCCGUCUGGAAAACGGACCGCCCACAGUGUUGCCCCGAGGAUGCGCGUGGAUGGCAUACAGGAAGGCCCUGGCGCUGAACGUGGCCACACAGUAGGGCCUCAGUGUGAGCAACCCAGCCUAGUUACAAUAGUGGCCAACCAUGCUCCACCCACCCUGCCAGCAGUGUCGCAUUCUGGGACUGUGGGAAGGAGCCAUGGGGGUCCUUUCCAGCGUGGGAGACUGGGCAGAGCAGAUGGCGGUUGUGGAGGGGGCUUCCUGGCUGAGAGGAGGCCUGUUUUAACCCUUUCCAUGGCUCCCCUCCUGCUCUCCCGUUGAUCCGGAUUUGAGUGCCAGCCCAGCCGACGGCACUCCGACGUUCCCAGCGUGUCAGCCAAGGGUGAGCCUCCCCCGCACACUCGCAGAGAGAAUUUUGGAAGGCACUCCGUGGCAUUCUCGGACAGCCACAGCGGCCUUCGGGAAGACAAAUGCCCUCGACUGGCGUCUCCUGACAGCCCCUCUCUCUGGCCUCCCUGCCCUCCACCCACUCCCGGGCCCCCCAGCAGGCCAGCAGCAGACGAGGGUCUCAGCCGCGAGCUCUGCGGUGGACUGAACCGGGCGACCUCCGCCUUCCCGGUCAGCAGCCAGCGCCCGGCGCCGGCCCCGGCCCGGGGCAGGGGCCUUCAGGCAGGCCUGGAUUAGAGGUUUGGGGUUUGGAACGUCCACAAUGGGAUCAAAUCAGAAUUUUUUUUUUUUUUUAAAGAAGACAAUUUUCAGAGACACAGUCUGAAAAACAAAACAGCUCUUUAGCUGUUUCUCUGAAAUGACAUCAGCGGCCACCACAAAGCCUGAAUCGGCCCCAUUGCUUUCGGCCGUGGGGAUGUAUCAUUUCCCCUGCGAAAUGCCAACAGCCUUGUCCUGGGUCCCAGCCGACUGGGAGCCGCUCGCCCAGUGGGAAGCCGCCACUUUCCCACCCAUGCUCAGCGGGGCCUUGUCAUUGGAAACGUGCAGAUUGCCGACGAACUGGGAGCUCAGGCCAGGAUGGGUUUUAGGGCACAGUGUUGGUCCUUGUUGUACACCCAUCGCAGUAGUGCCAUCCACGCGGGCAGCAAGUACUGGGAUUCUGGGCACGACCUUGCCCAGGACCAGCCGCUCCGGUGCCUCCUCCCAGACCCAAGCCCUCAGCCUGUCCCCCACCUCCCUCCAGCCCCAUCCAGGCUCCCACCCUUGCAGGCCAGCGCCUCCGGGGUUUGCGAGUGGUGGGGAAGCUGGAGAGUAUUUUCAAGAUGGAUUUUUGUUUCAUCGAAGAGCCACCCAAUUGCACUUAAUUUAUCACCACAUAAAAAUAGACACAGAAAAAAAAGGCCGGGAGGAAAUACAAUGACAUGUUAACAACCUGGCUGUCUGUGGCGGGAGGGUUAUUUUUUUCUUAAUUCCUUCUACUUCUGUACAUUUGCUCAAUGUUACUCUCGUAGCACAAAAAGCAUUAUUUAUUAAAACCACCAACUGGAUCUUGUCUCGGGGCCAACAUGAGCUGCUUAAGAGAGUGGAAAGUCAGGCUUUCUGGAGAGCCGGCAGUCCCUGGGGACUUAUUUCUUUGAAGAGACACUUUUAAAAACUCAGAAAUAAUCUGCAUAGUUGAAACUUCUGUUCCUCUGGGAUUGUUAUUCCUUCAUUAGCUAAAGUGAUUUACUGAGUCACAGGAAAUUUCGCUGCUGGCCCAAAGAGUGAUUCUACUCCCCAAGCAUUCGCCGAGUAUCUGCCCCGAGAGAGCCACCGCGGACCUGCCCUGGGCGGGCGCACAGUCUAACAGAGGACGCGGGAGGCGGGUCUCACGUUCACUCAUUCAGCAAACAUUUAUCCAGCCCCUACUAUGUGCCAGGCGUGAUUCGGGGGUGCGGAGACACAGCAGCGUACCAGCCAAACCAAGCUCCCUGCCUGCUCGGAGUUUAAACUCAGGGCACACGUAGAAGAGGAACGUGGAAGUGCCCGGGCAGCUGGAGGAAGGAGGCGUCCGUGACGGUGGAGACGGACGGAUGCGGGUCCUGCCAGGGCGAUAGGGUUGGAUUCUUGUGUGGAAGUCUCCACCGGGAGCCUGGGAGCGUGGCCAUCGGGCAAAUGGGGCGGGGGGGGGGGGUUCCAGACGUGACUAUUUAAAAUGAGGUCCUUAGGGUGGGCGCUCAUGCAGUGUGAGUGGUGCCCUUAUUUAAGGGGAGAUUUGGCCUCAGAGACCCCUUCCCCUCUCCCCCCAUCAAACAUGUUCUGAUCUGUGUGGACGCGUGUGUGUGAGGCUGGAGGGAGAGACCUCAGGGCAGCUAGAGGCCCCUUCGCCUUCUGCAGCCCCGGCCAUCGCUCACCUCGGGGAGAGGGCUGGUGGAAGCAGGUGCCCAUCUGCACUCACUCGUCAAGCAUUUCCGGGUGCCUGCUACGAGCCAGACGCUGCUCUAGGACCGGGAUCGCAGCAGUGGACAAAGCAGACCUACGUCCCUGUCCUCACGGGUGAGAGAGUUCCCUGGAUACCUACUGGGUACCAGAGACUGUGCUCCGUGAGUAAGACCCAGAGUCCAAUGAGACAGAGUUUCUGUCCCCACCCACCCAACCCAUCCGUCCAUCCAUCCACUCAGUGUUUCUGUUCAUCUGCUGUGAGUCAGGGAGUCUCUAGAUGGCACAGGAAACAAACAAGGAAGAGUCAUCUUAACAGUCUGAUCAGGGAAACAUAUGGGUUUAAAAAAAACUCUGGAAUUCCCGCUGUGGUGCAAUGGGAUCCGUGGUGUCUCCGCAGUGGCAGGGAUGCGAGUUCAAUCCCCUGCCUGAUGCAGUGGGUUAAGGAUCUGGUGUUAUCGCAGCCGUGGUGAAUGUUUUCACUCUGGCUCAGAUUUGAUCCCUGGCCCGGGAAGUCCACAUGCUACAGGGCGGCCAAAAAAA